AUUGAACGCUGGCGGCAUGCCUUACACAUGCAAGUCGAACGGUAACAGGGAGCUUGCUCCGCUGACGAGUGGCGAACGGGUGAGUAAAGUAUCGGAACGUACCUUUCAGUGGGGGAUAACGUAGCGAAAGUUACGCUAAUACCGCAUAUUCUGUGAGCAGGAAAGCAGGGGGAUCGCAAGACCUUGCGCUGAUUGAGCGGCCGAUAUCAGAUUAGCUAGUUGGUGAGGUAAAGGCUCACCAAGGCGACGAUCUGUAGCGGGUCUGAGAGGAUGAUCCGCCACACUGGAACUGAGACACGGUCCAGACUCCUACGGGAGGCAGCAGUGGGGAAUUUCGGACAAUGGGGGCAACCCUGAUCCAGCCAUGCCGCGUGAGUGAAGAAGGCCU
rnacentral:rRNA from 1 species